GGCUGCCCAGCGGCGUGGAGAGCGUGUCAGCUCUGCGUGUGCACAAGCCCCAGCAGCGUGUUCCCGGCGCAGCCCUUGGGGUAUCGGAUCCCACAGAUGAUGCAUGACUUGGGGCUCCAGGCUGGAUCCAAUUUGGAGUGCCUUGCUGCUUGAGUAGGACGAGAUCCCCCUGUGCCAGGGGCCUGGCAUGGACAUGUGGUAGGCUCUCCUCUUCAGCUUGUGGCUGCCAUAGAGUGAACAGUUCUUUGAGUCCAAGGGCAUGCCUUCAUCUGAAAGCACCUUGGUGGAAUAGCUGUUGGCUGGACAAAGUAGCUUUGGAAAGGUUCUGCGGUUGCUCUGGAUGUGAUCUCCCUGAGGAGCAUGGUGACCAGGAAUUUGGUGGCAUGAUCUCCCAUGGCCAGAAUGUAGGAUGCACUGUUGUGGUUUAUUUCCAUUUUCACGGGAUCCAGUGCUAUUGACUCUAAGAGUGUUUUGGUCUCUUGGCUGGAGUAUUUCUCCAUUUCUAUUUGUUUUUUUUUUCCUGCUGUCACCACACUCCUAUAUGGUUUGGACUAUCCUCACUCAGUAGAAUGUCCUUCAGAUGUUCUCAAUCUCUUAGGGGCCAGAAUAGCUCACCACAUCAAGGUAGGCUUGGAGCACCAACCUGGUUGCAGUCUGGCGCAGUAAUAUCUGGAAGAUUUCUUCAUUAGUCCCUGGGUCUUGUGCACCAGUCUGCCCUCUUCCUCACAUAGGGCAGCAGCUGGGUCAGAGAUCUCUGAUCUGUAGCAGAAAGCCCAGCGCUUUGUUGGAUGAUCUCUAAUAUGCCCUGAAUAACAGGACCAUAUCAUUGGAUCUGGACAGAGAUCUUUUCUCUUUUCAAACUCUUUUUCAAAGCUUUUUCAUGCAUGCCUACACUGCUUCAGCAGAGAUGGCCACGAAUUGUAACGUCUCUAAAUCCUUAUGAUCAUCUGGUGCUUCUGGCUCUGAUGCUGUUGGGAGCCUGGAUAGGACAUCUGCACUAAUGUUGCGCUGACCAUGUCAGAAUUCCAUGGAGAAGCUGCAACUGGCCAGUCCUGAUGCCCAGCAUUGAUCUAGUGCUCCUAGCAGGUGGGUGGUAGGAAUAUAGGAGGGGAGAAGCUUUCUGCACAGCCCUACCAUGGUAAAUCUCAGCACUGUAUUUGUGAGCCAUUUCAAAUGCUUUUGAGUCUUGUAUUGCAGCCUAAGUGGUUUGUCCUGUAGUCCCUACUCCCUGCCAGAUUUAGUUUUCCCCUUUCGUGGUAGAAACAUACCAGCAUCGCACAGUAGUUCAAAAACUGUUCUGUUUUUUAGACAUAGCUCUGUGCAUAGUUGUCAACUCUGUGGGUGCCGAGCACCACAGGCGCUCCCCCCACAAGAGACCCGUGCCUGACAGUGGGCUACAGUGAUCAGCACCUCUCCCUCCCACACCACUCCUCCCACAUACUAUGAUCAGCUCUUUUGUGGUAUUUUGGAGACCCUGUGGAUGGGGAAGGAUGUGGCAUACUCAUGGGAGGGGGCCAAACUGGAUGUGAAGAGAGAGGAUGGGGGUGCAGCGAGGGUGGGCCCUCGAAACAACAUGGGAGGUGGCAGGUCCUGGGGCAGCUGGGGAUUAAGCAGCUCCCUGGACAGUUCAGAAAGUUGGCAUCUGUAGGUCUGUACAAGUGGAUGUCUGGCUAUUGGAUCUUGCUCAUAUGACCAGGGUUUCCCAGAUCACCAUAUUUGAGGUUGGGAAGGAAUUUUUACCCAGGUCAGAUUGGCAGAGACCUGGGGUGGAGGGGUCCGCCUUUAUCCACAGCAUGGGACACUGGAUGGGGCUCAGUAAGCAGCUAAAUUGUGUGGUAGCACACCCUGCAGAGGGAACCCUGGUCCUAGGUCUUAGCCCCUAGUUUGAGAGAGGUUGCAUCAGGCUAUGUGCCUUGAACAAGAAGAUUCCAGUCUACCAAACCAGGCAAAACCAAAGGCUGCUGUGUACUGACCACACAUACUCUAUAACUCUUCUACCAUGUUAUUGGAGACACUGAUGUGUGCUGAUUUAGUUAGGUUGUCUCGGGGGUAGCUGUGUUAGUCUGUUACUUUUUUUUU